GAUGGGGUUGUGCAGUCGCGGUGUUGUGUCGCUAGAGUCCAGUCUGUGCUGCUCCUCCGUCAGCCCCGUUAUGGCAGACCCACGCUUGAGGCAGAUCAAGAUUAAGAUCGGAGUCGUGAGACGAUUGGCAAAAGAAAAAGUUAUGUAUGAAAAAGAAGCAAAACAGCAAGAAGAAAAGAUUGAAAAAAUGAAAGCUGAAGCAUGUGAUGAUUAUGGAAUUAAGAAGCAGGCUGGUGACUGUUAUAAAACCUACUGUUCUUCCAUCUUCAUUUUCAAACAGUAGAAGAAUAGAUUAAACAAAACACAAUAUAAAAAUAAAUAAAAACAAGAUAGAAGAAAACCCUUUUAGAACAAACUAAAACAAAUAAGUUCAUAGUUCAUGUGUGCAUGUCCUGCUUUGUUUUCAUUAUGUUAUGAGAAAGAAAUACAAAUGAAGAAUUUGUAUACAAAUAAAGAAUUUAUUUAUAUAGAGUUUAGCUGUUUUCUGCUUUACCACUGACUGAGACUAUGGUAUGUAAUAUGUAAAUAUGUGAUAUCAUAUUUGUAUGAUUCCAAAUAUGCAUAAAUUCUUGUACCAACUCCCAGUCUAAAUUUGAUUCUCAAUUCUCAAUUGGUUGAAACAAAAUUAUCCAUCCAUAAGAUAAAAGUAAAAGCUUUUUUUUUUCCAUAAAAAAAGUGAACUCUGCAAAAAUCAAACUAACAAUACAUAAAAUGGUUUGUCUUAUAUAAUCCUACUAAUAUUUGGUCUCCCAACAAGGCGCUCUCAAUGAAAACACAAACAAAUCACAAAAAAAAAAAAAUCACUAAAUAAAGAAUGCCUGCUUUUUAACACCUACAAAUUUGUGUUAAGGAGUUUAUUUUUGCCGCUUUUCUGUAUCGGGGUCUCCUCUGAUUAGCAUAGGAGCAGUUAAAGGUGAAGCAUUGUUAUGGGCCAGAUAAGAGAGUUAGAAAGGAAGUGUAAGACUACCUUGCCACUGCCAAAGCACAGGAAACACGUGUAUGCUAGUACUGUGGUUUUUAGAUUUAAGACAUUUGAUAAUGCAGCUGUUAGUGGAGCCAAAUUUACUAUAACUUCAGAAAUUUCAUUUUACACUGCAACAAAAAUCCAGCACUGUGAUACACCAGAAUUAGGGAAUGGAAUCUCUGAGUUUCUUUUAGGGUUAAGAUUAACAGAUUUCCACUUCUCACUUGGAAUCCGUAAAUUAACCUCAACACUUUGUCAGAUAACUCUUACUUCAUUUACUCCAGUGAUUUUAACUCUUUGCUGCCCGGGAAGCAUACCUAAGCUCUUGGCAUUCCACUGUAUUAGUACUGACUUGAUUUCAGUCUUGCCUGAUUUAUGGCCAGACGUGGUAGCAGUACACAGCACAAUUUUCAUAGCAGUUUACUGACCCUGGGAAUAAUUUGUGGUUUCAGUUUUAAUUAGGGGUUGUAAUUGUACUUCCUUAUCAUUAGAUGUCAAUGCAAACAUUAGAUUUUGUUCUUUAUCAGAACAAUAGACUCGCUCACCAUCUCCCAACUCCUCCACUGAACACAAAAGGUCUGAGUCACGAGACCGUAUUUCUGAGAAUGUUAGGCCUUCUACAUCCUGCAAUUCUUUCCAUAAGAUUCUCUUUCUUUUAUGUGCCAUCCAAAGCUCCGCCUGAAGCCUUUCAAUGCUAUCACACUCGGCAGCAAGCAAUGUCUCUGCUUGCCGCCUCUUUUCAAACCCAGCAGCAAACAAUGCCUCUGCCUUCAGCCUUUUUUCAUUUUCCUCAUUUAACUGAUAGUACAAUUUCACCGAAUCUUGUAAAGAUAGUAUUAUUUCAUCUUCAGAUUUCUGAGGAACCAGUUUAUCACUAUCCCAAUUUUCUCAUGCCAACUCCACCCCUGGGUUAGAGGGGCAACCAAAAAAUUUUCCAAGAAAGGACAACAAAAUAUUUUCUUUGCACUGGCAAUACAGGACAGCCAUUUUCUCCAAGAAUUCCCACAGAGGGAAUCACAAAUUCCCUCAGAGGGAAUUCAUGGCAAAGUUUGCAAAAGUUAACACAGAAGGAACUACACAAGAUUUCCCACAGAGGGAAAUUACUAUUGUCAAAGGUAUUUUGGGUCAGAGAACAUCACCCUGCUUGCUGCACCAAAAUAAUGUUAUGAUCCAUGUAUAAAGAGAUGCUUCUGCCUGAAUUAAGGUGCAAACAAGACCACAUGCUGAAGUCAAUAGUAAGGAUUUUAUUUAACAGUAAAUGUGAGGUAGAGACAUGGAAAGAAAUGGGAGAGAGAAGAGAGGGGGGGAGAAAAACAAAGUGAGAGAGAUAGAUGAGGUAGAAAGAUACCACCACCCUGUUGAUUCCUCAGUGUCCUGCUGGUCCUUUUUCACCCUGGUUUUCUCAGUGGUGGGGUCCCAGAGUAGUUUUUCGGGGGUAUCACCUUUAUACAGUCCAAGUUCCAGGUAUCCAUGGAGCAUAGGUGCUGUUCCCAUAACUUGGGAUGGCAUGUGUGUAAGCAGUUGUUUCCUUUCUCACAGUUUGCCACAGUUGGAAUUUUUGUCCAGAUAAGUUACCCAGAUCUGCCUCACCAGGCCGAGAAUUAGCAUCUUUUUGUUGUUGCCGUCUGCACUUACCUCAAGUUCCCACAGUCUGCACAGUUCAAUUGGUAGAGCUUCUAGCGUUAACUAACCAGGUGUCCUUCGCUUAAUAUAGACCCAAUGUUUGAAGGUUCCCUCACCCAGUGCUUUCAAGGUAGUUUUUAACAGUCCAUUGUACCAUUCAACUUGCCCAGAGGCUGGUGCAUGAUAGGGAAUAUGAUAUAACCAACUGUCUGACCCAGGUCUUUAUGAGGCUAGUUUUGAAAUGAGUCAUGUUGUCUCACUGUAGUGGGUUUCUGUGGCUCAAUUUUGGUAGUGGGGGGGGGCUACAGGGGUAGUUUCUGUUAGAAGCUGCUAGAAGCUUCCCCUGUCCUGUGAAACCAAUGCCAGCCGGCUCCAGGAUGGACUUCCUGCCACUGGCCAAGGCCAAGCCAAUUAGGAGUAAUAGUAACGCCUCUGUGAUAACAUAUUUAAGAACAGAAAGUUGUUGCGCAGAAGAAAUUAUAGCCAAGGAAGAGCAGAGUGAGAACAUGGGAACAACAAAGUAAACAUCAAGGUCAGUGCAGAAGGAGGGGGAGGAGGUGCUCCAGGUGUCAGAGCAGAGGCCCCUGCAACCCGUGGUGAAGACCAUGUUGGAGCAGGCUGUCCCCCUGCAGU